rnacentral:rRNA from 1 species
UACGUAGGGGGCUAGCGUUGUCCGGAAUCAUUGGGCGUAAAGCGCGCGUAGGCGGCCCGGUAAGUCCGCUGUGAAAGUCAAAGGCUCAACCUUUGAAUGUCAGCGGAUACUGCCGGGCUAGAGUCCGGAAGAGGCGAGUGGAAUUCCUGGUGUAGCGGUGGAAUGCGCAGAUAUCAGGAGGAACACCAACGGCGAAGGCAGCUCGCUGGGACGGUACUGACGCUGAGGCGCGGAAAGCGUGGGGGAGCGAACAGG